rnacentral:rRNA from 1 species
AGUGAACGCUGGCGGUAGGCCUAACACAUGCAAGUCGAACGGCAGCACAGUAAGAGCUUGCUCUUACGGGUGGCGAGUGGCGGACGGGUGAGGAAUACAUCGGAAUCUACUUUUUCGUGGGGGAUAACGUAGGGAAACUUACGCUAAUACCGCAUACGACCUACGGGUGAAAGCAGGGGAUCUUCGGACCUUGCGCGAUUGAAUGAGCCGAUGUUGGAUUAGCUAGUUGGCGGGGUAAAGGCCCACCAAGGCGACGAUCCGUAGCUGGUCUGAGUGGAUGAUCGGCCGCACUGGAGCUGGAACACGGUCCAGGCUCCUACGAGAGGGAGCAGUGGGCAAUGUUGGGCAGUGGGCGCGAACCUGGUCCAGCCAUACCACGUGGGUGGAAGAAGCCUUCGGGUUGUGAAGCCCUUUUGUUGGGAAAAAAAAGCAGCAGGUUGAUACCCCGCUGUUCUGACGGUACCCAAAGAAUAAGCACCGGCUAACUUCGUG